rnacentral:rRNA from 1 species
UACGGAGGAUCCGAGCGUUAUCCGGAUUUAUUGGGUUUAAAGGGUGCGCAGGCGGGAUGUUAAGUCGGCGGUGAAAUUUUGCAGCUCAACUGUAAAAGUGCCUUCGAUACUGGCUUUCUUGAGUGUGGAUGAAGUAGGCGGAAUUUGUGGUGUAGCGGUGAAAUGCUUAGAUAUCACGAGGAACUCCGAUUGCGCAGGCAGCUUACUAAACCACUACUGACGCUCAUGCACGAAGGCGUGGGGAUCUAACAGGAUUAGAUA